AGCGAUCGCUGGCGGCAGGCCUAACACAUGCAAGUCGAACGGAUCCUUCGGGAUUAGUGGCGGACGGGUGAGUAACACGUGGGAACGUGCCCUUUGGUUCGGAACAACUCAGGGAAACUUGAGCUAAUACCGGAUGUGCCCUUCGGGGGAAAGAUUUAUCGCCAUUGGAGCGGCCCGCGUCUGAUUAGCUAGUUGGUGAGGUAACGGCCCACCAAGGCGACGAUCAGUAGCUGGUCUGAGAGGAUGAUCAGCCACACUGGGACUGAGACACGGCCCAGACUCCUACGGGAGGCAGCAGUGGGGAAUCUUGCGCAAUGGGCGAAAGCCUGACGCAGCCAUGCCGCGUGAAUGAUGAAGGUCUUAGGAUUGUAAAAUUCUUUCAGCGGGGACGAUAAUGACGGUACCCGCAGAAGAAGCUCCGGCUAACUUCGUG
rnacentral:rRNA from 1 species